CCUACGGGGGGCUGCAGUGGGGAAUUUUGGACAAUGGGCGAAAGCCUGAUCCAGCCAUUCCGCGUGAGUGAAGAAGGCCUUCGGGUUGUAAAGCUCUUUCGGCAGGAAAGAAAUCGUUGCCCCUAAUACGGGUAAUGGAUGACGGUACCUGAAGAAGAAGCACCGGCUAACUACGUGCCAGCAGCCGCGGUAAUACGUAGGGUGCGAGCGUUAAUCGGAAUUACUGGGCGUAAAGCGUGCGGUGGGGUGUGAAAUCCCCGGGCUUAACCUGGGAAUGGCGUUUGAAACUACAAGGCUAGAGUGUGGCAGAGGGGGGUAGAAUUCCACGUGUAGCAGUGAAAUGCGUAGAGAUGUGGAGGAAUACCGAUGGCGAAGGCAGCCCCCUGGGAUAACACUGACGCUCAUGCACGAAAGCGUGGGGAGCAAACAGGAUUAGAUACCCUAGUAGUC
rnacentral:rRNA from 1 species